GGCGAACGCUGGCGGCGUGCUUAACACAUGCAAGUCGAACGGUGAAGCGCCUUCCUUUUUGGUGGGUGUGGAUGAGUGGCGAACGGGUGAGUAACACGUGAGUAACCUGCCCCCUUCUUCUGGAUAACCGCAUGAAAGUGUGGCUAAUACGGGAUAUUCUGGGUCUGUCGCAUGAUGGGUCUGGGAAAGAUAUUGUUUCGGUGGGGGAUGGGCUCGCGGCCUAUCAGCUUGUUGGUGGGGUGAUGGCCUACCAAGGCGGUGACGGGUAGCCGGCCUGAGAGGGUGGACGGUCACACUGGGACUGAGACACGGCCCAGACUCCUACGGGCGGCAGCAGUGGGGAAUAUUGUACAAUGGGCGCAAGCCUGAUGCAGCGACGCCGCGUGAGGGAUGGAGGCCUUCGGGUUGUGAACCUCUUUCGCCAGUGAAGCAGGCCUGCCUCGUUUGUGGGUGGGUUGACGGUAGCUGGAUAAGAAGCGCCGGCUAACUACGUG
rnacentral:rRNA from 1 species